GAACCUACCCUUAGGACGGGGAUAACAGCUGGAAACGGCUGCUAAUACCCGAUGUGCCGAGAGGUGAAAGAUUUAUUGCCUGAGGAAGGGCUCGCGUCCGAUUAGCUAGUUGGAGUGGUAAUGGCACCCCAAGGCGACGAUCGGUAGCUGGUCUGAGAGGAUGAUCAGCCACACUGGGACUGAGACACGGCCCAGACUCCUACGGGAGGCAGCAGUGGGGAAUUUUCCGCAAUGGGCGCAAGCCUGACGGAGCAAUACCGCGUGCGGGAGGACGGCCUUUGGGUUGUAAACCGCUUUUCUCAGGGAAGAAGUUCUGACGGUACCUGAGGAAUCAGCAUCGGCUAACUCCGUGCCAGCAGCCGCGGUAAUACGGGGGAUGCAAGCGUUAUCCGGAAUUAUUGGGCGUAAAGCGUCCGCAGGUGGUUUGUCAAGUCUGCUGUUAAAGCGUGGAGCUUAACUCCAUAUCGGCGGUGGAAACUGAUGAACUAGAGGGUGGUAGGGGUCACGGGAAUUCCCAGUGUAGCGGUGAAAUGCGUAGAUAUUGGGAAGAACACCAGCGGCGAAAGCGCGUGACUGGGCCAUUACUGACACUCAUGGACGAAAG
rnacentral:rRNA from 1 species